GAAGGGUGGCUAGCGUUAUUCGGUAUUACUGGGCUUAAAGCGUGUGUAGGCGGAAAGGUAAGCGUCUUGUGAAAUCCCUCGGCUUAACCGAGGAAUUGCUUGACGUACUGCCUUUCUUGAGGCAGGUAGGGGUGCAUGGAACUCUUGGUGGAGCGGUGGAAUGCGUAGAUAUCAAGAGGAACGCCAGUGGUGAAAACGGUGCACUGGGCCUGUCCUGACGCUCAGACACGAAAGCGUGGGGAGCGAACGGGAUUAGAUACCCCGGUAGUCCACGCUGUAAACGAUGUCUACUAGGUUCCGCGGGUUCUGACGCCGGCGGGGCCGAAGCAAAAGUGCUAAGUAGACCGCCUGGGGAGUACGGUCGCAAAGGCUAA
rnacentral:rRNA from 1 species